rnacentral:misc_RNA from 1 species
AGAUCCGGGCAGAUCUAUAGCGGAAGCGAGCAAGCACACGACAAAUCACCUUCCUGCCCUCCCGCCCUCCACGCACACGCACACGCACGCUGAUGUGUGCAUCAACCACGCACAAGCUCUAAAGCGUAACCUCUCUGCCUCUGGGCCUGCGUGCCGCCACGCCUCCCCUUCUUAUAGUCUUCUCUCGCUUUUCCUUUGCUGUCGAUGUUCACGUUCAUGUUACUGCGACUUUUCCUUUUCGUUUAUGUUCGGUAUGUAUUCCUGGAUCAUCUUGCCUCUCUCUCUUGACCAGCAGCCCCUCUCCCUCCUCCCUCCACGCCCUCCUCUUUUAUCACCACUUCUCCCUCGGCGUGUCUCGUCCUCGUACGCGUGACCCCCUGCGCCCCUUCUCGUCCCUCUCACCUACAUUCCAACCCUCCUGCCUGCCCGCCUGCCUCUCCAGCACACUCACAGGAUCCACGCAUGCACAACGAGCAUUUUCUUCCUUCCUUUAUUUCGCUUUGAGGGCUCCUCGCUUUUCUCCUUUCUCUCUCUGUCGGCCUCCGCCGCCGUCUUUCAGGCGCGCCGCGCCUCGCCCCGUCGUGCAGUUUCCUCUCCUCCCGUCAAACCUCUCCGACGUCGCUCUUCCCACUAUUUCUUGUCGGUGCCUCGUUUCUUUUACUUCCCUUCUCUGUCGCCCCUUUUCUCCUUGCUGGUGUCGUGCGCGUGUCUGUGUGCCUGUCUCUCCCACGACGCUCCCUCCCUCCUCUAUACUGCACCUCCGCCCACCACUUCCAGCCCUCUUCGCAGCCCUCCCUUUUGUUUUGUUUCUCACUGGAACUUCUGUCGUGCGCUUCGCUUACACCGUCACCACACGUGCCGACCGCUGUGCUGCUUCUCCGCUUCCGCUUCUACUCACCCCCACCCGCCCUCCUCGACUCCCCUGGAGGCAGGCAUACGGGCGAUCACUUGUGCACGCGCGUGUUUGUGUGGGCUCUUACGCCCUUUAUCUUUCAGCUUGUUUUUCCUCUUUCCAUCCGUGGUUUUGCGGGCGACUCCGAAUCGCGGUCGCACACCGAAGCCAUCCGACGUGGAGCCUCCGACGGCUAUGCCUGGGCGUUCAGGCAGUGAGGCAGGAGGCGUAGCCCCCUCAGCCGAGCUGGGAGCUCCACUCAGCGCCACAGGGGCGACCUCUGCUAGGUCCUCCAGCGGGCGCAGUCAUCCGUUACACCCAAGCGCAUCUGCCAGCUUCUGCUUCGGCGACGCCGUUCCCACCCACGGUCAGCACGCUUUGGCAAAUGCCGGAGAGGUGGCUCACUUAGGCCGCGGUGGGGGCCAGUCGCAGCAGAGUUGCCCCCCCACCAUCAUCGACACGUCGGCGACUGGGCCGACUGCCGUUGGUGUGUCUUCUCUUCGCUGUGACUUCGCUUCUCCACCAGCGGUUUUGGUGGCAGGCGUGCCGAUGAGCAGCCACGUCCCUACACCAAACCAGUCUACCCCCGCUACUGACACGCGGUCUGUUCAGCUUCUUGAGCACCUGCAGCAGUUGCUUCAGAGCAACGUACCGACGGCGAUGCUGCAGCAGUGGGUGUCCGCCCAGCUUCUCCAAGCCAAAUCGCCUGCCACCGUUGCGCGACCUCCCGCUGCUGUCGUAGUUGUCUCGUCAUCUGCGAGACCGCUCGCCCCCACCGCCCUGCCAGCUUCGGCACUGGGGCAGCCGACAAGUCCACGCAUCCCCGGUGGCAGUUGCCCACCGCGACGGCCCGCGCCGGCAGUGUCCUUUUCGAUUUUCACCUACCCACAUUGUCAAACGCAGCAGCAGCAGCAGCAACUCUCACCACGGCAGGGCAGCCCUCUGGACCGCGUCAAUGUUUCUUCCGAACCGUCCUUCACCCCAUCUACCAUCGGAUGUGUGUGCAACGCAAACAGCGGCAGCGCCCCCAGUGCUCUGACGUCGGCGGUCGAUGGAGGCGCAGUUGCGCUCGCGCCAGCGAUGUGCAGCGCCACGUCGGUGGUUGCCACGGUGCCGUCGAAGGCUGACAUCGAAGCACCUCUAUCAGGGCCCUCACUGCCGUUUUUGGCAGGCUCGGCGGUGGUGCCAUCAGUGGAGAGGGGGGGGCCCUGCUCCACCGUCAAUGAUCCGCUCGCCAGCGGUGCUGGCAAUGACAACGACUCGGCGGAGGCUCAUCAACGUUGCUCCGGCGAAGGCCUACGAAAGACUUCGCGACUGCGCCGACAGCACUCCCAGUGCCGUUCACUUCGAAACCAGAGCAGCAACGCCGGCUUCAGUUCUCCCACUGCCCCAUCUAGUGGAGUUUGGCCGGCGACGGGGUCCUGCACGGGUGCCAACAUGGCCCCUUCCACCAUCAUUCUCCACUCAAAGUCUCCUAGCCCUGCAGGCUCCCCGACGCAUCGCUGCAUCGCCUCUGCACUGCACUCAGCCACCAAAGCAGCGAUUCACGCGACAACGUCCCAGCUGGUGGCAGCGAAGCAGCAGAACAUCUCACUGCUGCUCGGGGAGCGUUUCUCGCGUCACCCCCAAAAUCUUGUCCGGCGUGUGGCAACGCCACUGGUGCACGUCGGCAGCGGCUCGUCUGGGACUUCGGCGCUGUCUGGGGCGACUUCGGGGGCGACUUUCUCGCAGGGCCGCUCACGCUGUGAGCGUGACUUCAGCGCAGAUGGCGACAACUCCAGCCUUGCUACCGCGAAUACAGUGCUCGAGCGCGUCGAGGGACCGACCGGCUCGUUGGUCGCGCCACAGACGCGGUUCCCGUCGCUGGCGAGCGCUCCGCUCAAGGUGGCGGAGGGGGGGGCUGCCGUGGCAGCGGCGGGGUUUUUGGCUCGCCGCGCUCCUUUGCCAUCGAUGGCCGCGGCGGCUUCUGCCAGUGACCCGGCACGCAAAUUGCCGGCCAGACGCUUAUCGCGUGCCAUCACGCCACCCAGUCUGCUGAUGACGGCCAUGGACGUCUCCGAGAGCGGCAGCUCUGGGGUGUCAUCCCUCCAAGGUAAUGGCACCGUAAGCGACGACCACAGCGCCGUGUCGAACGCGCCGUGCGGCAGCAACGACGCCGCCGCUGCCGCCCCACCGCCGUUGCCUGCGUCCGCUGAGUCUGCAUCAAUCCACCGAUGCACCGACAGCAUCCCUUCAGAGCAGCCCGCGAAUGCAGAGGCAGAAGCCCAGCUCAAGCUGUUGCUGCAACGGGAUCGGCCGAGCAGCACCUUGUCGGCCGUGAUGGCUGCGCGCCCGCUGACGGCGGCCACAGAGGCUGCUUCAGGCGAUGCCCCAGAGCCGGUGGCGGCCACGGAAGUGCCGGACGUCAUCUCCCUCAUUGCGGUUGAUACGGAGGGUGCGAGCGUUCCCUGCACCCCUUUCCGGGAGCCGCCAUCGCACACCAACUCGUCCCUGCUCAGCGGCGGCGACUCGCACCAGUUGCCACGUUGGUGGGGCGGCGCUGCCGCCCAUGACGGUGAGCGUUACCACCUCCCUCAUCGCGGCACCAUCUUGACCCUGCCUGCGGUGAACGCCUCCGCCACUCCGUUCGCGUGGGCUCAGCCGCCGAACAUGGAUUCACACGCACCUGGCUUGGAGACGUCGCUCUCGCAGCUUGCUCCGUUGCCAUCCACGGUGAUUCAAGGCACACGCCAGGCGUCCGUGACGCCGCGGAGGGCGACCAGCUUAGUCUCCAACGCCAGCAGCCACCUCGGUUGCGCUGGUGCGACCCGGGGGCAUGGCGCCGCUACGCUCCUCGACGUCGCCGGCCAAGAUUCUUUAUCGCUGCAUGACGACGUGCCGAGUUUUAACAGCAGCCACACCGCUGGCAUGUCGUCCAUCGGCGACGGCGUGAACGGCAAUCGCCUGCGCCGCUUCUCCGUGCUUCACUUGAGCCGCUCGUCUAUGAACGGCGGUGUUGACCCCAUGGACGGAGUUAUGCCGAGCUUCAUCCUCGAUGACAUCAAUGGGGCGCAGCGCCGCUCGGGCCCGCGCUUCUUGCGCUCCUUCUGUCGUCACACGCCUGUUCGAGUCACGGAGAGCGUGACGCGCGAGGCGCUGAGGGGGCUUGGGGUGCCGUUCAUUGCAGGCAUCGACCAGGCCUCGGUCCCAACAAACGUCUUGAAGCUGAUGGACGCAUACAGGUUCACGGACAGCUGCGCCUUCUACGUGGCGAUGUGCCUCAACGUGUUUCUGCGCUACGGGUUCGUGCAGCGCUUCGGAUGGAACCUGCAGAAGCUGAAGAGGUUCUUCGAGGUGGCCGCGACGUACUUCCGCGGCGGAAACCCGUUCCACAAUCCGGUGCACGCCGUCGACGUCGUCAUGGCGGCGCACCAGUGGCUCAACGAAGGGAGCACCGGCGCUGCACUUUCCGAUGAUGAGGCGAUGACGUUUUUGUUCACCGCCAUGGUGCAGCAGCUUGCUCACACAGGCGCCGACAACCGCCUGCUUGGACAGCUGAAACACCCGUACGCGAUGCUCUGCAGUUACGCGUCGCCUCAGCAGGGUGCCACUGUCGCACUGGUGAUGGCGCUGCUGAGUCGACCAGAGCUGCACUUCUUUCCUGUUCCCUUCCUCGCCACAGCUCACACUGCUGACGCCAGUGACGCUACCGACCCGGCCGUUGUAAAGGAGUGGACCACGAGCCGCGAGUCGCAGGUCUACGAUAUGCUGGCUGACCUUAUCAUGGCCACAGACGAGCGCAACCAUGCCACGCUGAAGCAGAACAUCGUGCGCAUGGGGGAGGAGAACGCGCGGCGGCACGGCUGCAUGUGUGCUUAUACCCACACCGACCGCUCCUCCUCCCAGGCCGACACAGCGACGCGGCUGCUGUACCCGUCUCAGCCGGGCAACUUCUGUCUCAAUUGCUGUGCGUACAUCACUGAUGCACACGUGCCCGACUUGCUGAAAGCGGUGCUGCACUUUAUCGACUUUGCGUACCUGUUCCGCCCUUACCAGGUUUAUCUGUCCGGCAACGUCACCUACACGGCGGAGGUGUACCGGCAGAGCCAGCGGGAGUACCAACUGCUGCAACGCUUGCAGGAGCAGCAACUGCUAAGGGUCUUGACGGAUGAGGCGGAUAGGGAGAGGGUUGGAGAGGAAGUGCCGCGGAGGCGGUCUGGUGCUCAAAGCCCCGGCGCACCCGUCUCCGCGCCGGCGGUAACGUUUGCCACGGCGCUUCUGGCAGAGCAACAACCUUGGCGGCAAGGCGUUGCUCAAGCCUCCACCAUGACCUCGCUGCAGCGCAGCGGCGAUGAGGCCGUGGUAGCUGCGGACACCCCGCCGCCGUCGCGCCGUGUGGCGGACAUGACGCUGCCGAGCGAGACGACAGUGCGUCGCCACUCCUCUAUGCGUCCGCCGCUGCUGGCGCUGGACGGGCAGCUGAUGCAGCAGGCGACUAGAAUGCCACUGGACGAAGACGCCUCUGCUUCGAAUGCGCUGGACAGUGCGACGAGCACACAGCCCCUCAAGGGUCUCGGCCGCGAUAUUGUGCUCAUUAGCCUGGAGGACUUGUGCUUGCCCUUCCUCGAGCAGCUAUCCCCGUACAUGCCGGAGGCGUGGGUGGCGGCGAGCUACCAGAACCAUCAGCGGCUGAUGAAGUCUCUUCCAACCCCGGAGAAGUUUGAUGAGAUCGUCAAUCGGUUGCUCGGCAUGGGCGAGGAAACAGAGGCUGAGAGGCUCGAGGAGGAUAUAAAGAAAGAGGGCGAGGCCGAGGAUGAGGAGGCGGAUUGGCUUGCUGCUGAGCGUCCGUUUACGCUACCGUGGCGCCUGCUGCGUCCGAUGCGCCCCAUUGAAGCGGAGUGGACAGUGGACAAGGACAGUCUGGUGCGGCGUGUGGUGAGGGAGAUCAUGAGAGGGCCCGAUCAGCUGCUGAAAGAAAGCGAUGCGAGCUGAGGCAUGGAGUAGGAGAGGGGCUAGGGAGAGGGGACUGACUGGCCGUCGUUCAUCUCCGACCGUUGCGGGCUCCCCUCGGCCUCUUUCUCUGAGCUGGCAGCCGGCCCUACGCAUACGCUGGCGAACGCGAACACGGGUACGUACGUAUGCAUAAACGCUCACACCCAAGCAAACAGAUGCGCACGCCUUUUGCCAUAGAUGUACAAUACCGGGUGUGAGGAGCGCACACGCGUCAGACUGUUUUGCAUCUUCUGUUUUGUUCGUUCUUCUAUCUAUGUGUGUGUGUCUCUUUCCCCCCUCUCGCCCUUCUUUCCCUCUUUACCCACCACGACUGUGGGCCCCAGCCACGGUGCACCUCCGAGGUAUAUCCGUGUCUGCGUAUGUCCUCCUCUCUCUGUUUUUUGUAUUUCGUUUCUAUGACUUUCGUUUCCCGUGGGGUGCUGCCUCUGCGCGCGCCCCUCUCCCUCCCUCUCUCCCUCUGCCUGUGUCGACGGCGUCGUGUGAUACGCCCCGCCACACAUGCUCCGCUCUUCUUUGCCUUCAUUGCCUUCAUUGCCUUCAUUGAAUUAAACCAUGUAGGGUCCACCCACGCGGGCUUUCGGGGUUGAUGUCGCCUCUGGUUGCCCCUCCUUGCGUGUGCGCUGCUUGCAUCACCAUGCGGCCGUGCACCCAUUCCUCCUCUUGUUCUCUGUUUUGAUCGACUUCGCCUCCUCCUCUCUCCUCUCUCCUCUCUGUUUUCCCUUCGACGCGUGCGCUCUGGGGCCAUUCUUACGAUGUGUCGUCCGCCAGGUCGUAUGAUCCAAAACGGGGUCAUGGUAUCUACGCUGCUGCUCGUGCUCUUCCUACGCCCCCCCCUCCCCCCCACACACCGUGCCAGCGGUCUCUCCCCGUCUUCCUCCCCAUCGCAACAACAUUACCAUCACCCCCCCCCCCCAACGACCACGUGGUCUUUUUACAGCCUUUCGUCAUGUCUCUGGUUCUUUUCGCUGUUUUUUGAGGAUGUCUGAUCACGGCUUUCGCAUCUUCCCUUGGUGUGUUGUGUCGUUGUGCCGUUGUGCUGUUCAAGCGCGCGGAUGUGUUGAUGCCCUUCUCUCUCUAUUCACGGUGCUGCCACCUUCUCUCUCUUCCAUUUUCCUUUUUUCCUUCUGUUUCGUUUUUUCUGUCUCUGUUUCUCGUGGAGGUGUACGAGCAACGGGCAGGCUGGGCGGUGCGAGGGGUGCGCCAGAGGAGGGGAUGCCGAUGUUGUGCGCUGAUCCCUCCCCGCCCCUCCUUCUCUGUCUCUCCCCCUUGGGACAUGGGCUGCGAUGGAAAGCGGGACGCACGCACAGACAUACACACGCAGGCAGAGAAGAGAAGGGGGGCGGGGGACAGUGAUGCUGGGCAAAGUGCUUGCCAAGAAUGAGGGCCCCACUCAAACUCCUGCGUACCCUUUCACACCUAUCCAUGCCCUGCGACUUUUGCUCUUCGCCAUCCUCGUUGGAUGGCGGGAGGUGGCGUCGGUGGGUGUGCGACAGGCACGGCGUCGUCCUCUCUCUCUGUGUCUCUGAGUCUCCUUGCACACGAACCGAACACAC